rnacentral:rRNA from 1 species
AGCGAACGUUUGCGGCGGGCCUAACACAUGCAAGUCGAACGCACUAGCAAUAGUGAGUGGCGCACGGGUGCGUAACACGUGGGUAAUCAACCCUUCAGCUUGGGAUAACGACUUGAAAGGGUCGCUAAUACCGGAUACGGCGCGGGAGGCUUCGGCUUCUCACGAGAAAGCCUCGCAAGGGGCACUGAAGGACGAGCCUGCGGCCCAUCAGCUAGUUGGUGAGGUAAGAGCUCACCAAGGCGAAGACGGGUAGCUGGUCUGAGAGGAUGAUCAGCCACACUGGAACUGAGACACGGUCCAGACUCCUACGGGAGGCAGCAGUGGGGAAUAUUGCGCAAUGGGCGAAAGCCUGACGCAGCCACGCCGCGUGAGCGAUGAAGGCCUGGGUCGUAAAGACUCUGUGGGGAGAGACGAAGAAAGACCCGUGAAGAGCGGGCCGUUGACGGUAGUCUCCUUAGCAAGCACCGGCUAACUCCGUGCCAGCAGCCGCGGUAAUC